UACGUAGGGGGCAAGCGUUGUCCGGAAUUAUUGGGCGUAAAGAGCGCGUAGGCGGUCCGUUAAGUCGGCUGUGAAAGUCAAGGGCUCAACCCUUGGAAGCCGGCCGAUACUGUCGGACUAGAGUCCGGAAGAGGCGAGUGGAAUUCCCGGUGUAGCGGUGAAAUGCGCAGAUAUCGGGAGGAACACCAAUUGCGAAGGCAGCUCGCUGGGACGGUACUGACGCUGCGGCGCGAAAGCGUGGGGAGCAAACAGG
rnacentral:rRNA from 1 species